GAUGAACGCUGGCGGCGUGCUUAACACAUGCAAGUCGAACGAAGCACUCUAUUUGAUUUUCUUCGGAAAUGAAGAUUUUGUGACUGAGUGGCGGACGGGUGAGUAACGCGUGGGUAACCUGCCUCAUACAGGGGGAUAACAGUUGGAAACGACUGCUAAUACCGCAUAAGCACACAGGAUUGCAUGAUCCGGUGUGAAAAACUCCGGUGGUAUGAGAUGGACCCGCGUCUGAUUAGCCAGUUGGCAGGGUAACGGCCUACCAAAGCGACGAUCAGUAGCCGACCUGAGAGGGUGACCGGCCACAUUGGGACUGAGACACGGCCCAAACUCCUACGGGAGGCAGCAGUGGGGAAUAUUGCACAAUGGGGGAAACCCUGAUGCAGCGACGCCGCGUGAGCGAAGAAGUAUUUCGGUAUGUAAAGCUCUAUCAGCAGGGAAGAAGA
rnacentral:rRNA from 1 species